UAGGGAAUCUUCGGCAAUGGACGAAAGUCUGACCGAGCAACGCCGCGUGAGUGAAGAAGGUUUUCGGAUCGUAAAACUCUGUUGUUAGAGAAGAACAAGGACGUUAGUAACUGAACGUCCCCUGACGGUAUCUAACCAGAAAGCCACGGCUAACUACGUGCCAGCAGCCGCGGUAAUACGUAGGUGGCAAGCGUUGUCCGGAUUUAUUGGGCGUAAAGCGAGCGCAGGCGGUUUCUUAAGUCUGAUGUGAAAGCCCCCGGCUCAACCGGGGAGGGUCAUUGUAAACUGGGAGACUUGAGUGCAGAAGAGGAGAGUGGAAUUCCAUGUGUAGCGGUGAAAUGCGUAGAUAUAUGGAGGAACACCAGUGGCGAAGGCGGCUCUCUGGUCUGUAACUGACGCUGAGGCUCGAAAGCGUGGGGAGCAAACAGG
rnacentral:rRNA from 2 species